CAUCUACCAUUAUACCUACAAUGAUUGGCCAUACCAUUGCUAUCCACAACGGAAAAGAGCAUUUACCUAUUUAUAUAACAGAUCGUAUGGUAGGCCAUAAAUUAGGAGAAUUUUCACCUACUCUAAAUUUCCGAGGACAUGCGAACAAUGAUAAUAGAUCUCGUCGUUAACGUUAAUUUUAACAUAAAUUUUUAAAUCGUAAUUUAUAACUAAAUAUUACAAAAUGGAAUUCUUAUUAAAAUGAAAUUCAAAUCAUUUUUUUAUAAAAAAAAUCUUUAAUUAAAUUAAAUAUUUAAAUAAGUAUCAAAUGGUAACCCUUCUUAGAGCUUAAUUGUGGUUGCUCCAACCUGCCUAACCAUUGCCACCAACAUGUUCUAGUACCUUACACCGUCAUGCUCCACCUCUUCACAACCACGGGACAUUAUGCUUGAGCUCCAUGUAUGGACUCACCCAUUAAGAAAAAAAAUUUAUACAAGGAAUCUAUAUGUCCAUGGAUCACGCCAACUUCAUUGUAUUCGUCUGAGUCGGUCACCAAUUAUCGAACCUGACUUUGAUACCAAUUAUUGUGCAAUCGAGGGGUCGGGGGUUAAACAUUGGGGAGAUUUAUAAGGUAUUAUAUUGCUAAAUAUAAUACUCUUUUCUCAAAUUUGUUUGUUCCUAUUUAUAAGAUUCUUUUCAAGUUGUUUGUUUCAUUAAUUACUUUUUGACCAAAAUGUUCGUAAUUAUUUUACAAUAAAUACUAUGAAUUAAAAAGAUAUAUAAAUGCAUUAUCUCAAUCUCUUAUAAGGAUUGGAGAAGAAGCCCAGUACAUAUUAAUUAAUUAGAUAAACAAGAAUUAAGUAAAAAGAGAGAGAUCAUAACUCCUAAUAAUUUUGAGGUAAUUUUAGAAAACAACAUAAAUUACUAAUAAAUUUAAUGUUAUCAACUAUACUAACUAACUUUUUUAAAGGAUGUGAAUUAAUUAAAAAUAUAUUAUAUUUAUAGACAAAGAUAGAAAAUAAAAAACAAGUUGAGAAGUGGAUUCUCAAAUCUCGACUUCUCAACAUAAAAAAUAAUCAAACAAAAAUAUAAGAAAGGGGAUGAAAAGUGUGGGUUUAGAUGGAGAGGGUUUUCUCAAAAAUAGUGUUUAGUUGUAGUUGCUAAAAUAAUUUGUAAAGAUAAAUGGUUACUUUUAUCUUCCAAAGUGUAAAGUGAUUAAAAUUGAGUCACUGAAAGAACAAUUUUUUUUAUUUAACUAGUCUUUAAAUUAAUGUGUAAAAAGUAUAAUAAUAAUUUUUUUUAUUUAACUAGUCUUUAAAUUAAUGUGUAAAAAGUAUAAUAAUUUUAUGUUAUCGUUAAAUUUUGUGGAUCAAUUUGUUAUUAAACUAUAAUGUUAAAUUAUUAAUUUGAUAUUAAGUAAUGUUUUGAGGACUAGUUUGACAUUAUGUUAAAAAUAAUGGACUAAUUGAGCAUUAAGUUGUACGAUAGAAUGUAAUUUUUAUAGUUUUUUACAUUCAUAAACUAAAUUAAAAUUUUGUUCUUUUAGGAGUACAAUUGUCAUCGUUUUACACUUUUAGGGACAGAGUCAUCAUUUACCUGAUUUGUAAAGAGUAUUAUUUUGGGUUUUUUCUUUUUUGUUAUAUUUAUUUUUUUAAAACAAGAACUAUUAAACAACUAUUUUCCUCUUCCUUCUUAUUUUUAAAUACUCAAUCGAUGAAUAAGCAAAAAGCUAGUUAGUUAGCUCUAUUUAUACCCUUUUGCCCACCUGAUAUGUAUCCAUGAGUGUAGCUACGUACCAACAUGGGUAAUACAUGUAGUAUCGAGCUUUACAAAUGGUUAAGUGUCGAAUUUCCUGAAGAGUUCGCUCUCAUAUACCCUAAAGACAAAUCUAAGUAUAGCAUUUUUCAUUUGAGCAUCAAUCUAGAAAGGGUGCUAUUGAGACUCGCAAAUGCUUUGUGUGAUGAUUAUCUAGUGCAAUUACUUCACAUGGAGGUCACUGGUGAAAGCGACAACAACGGAUCAUUCAACUUAGGGCUAGUGAGAGUGGUUGCAGAUGGCAUCACUCCUGAACAAACAGUUCGUGACACCGAGCAUUUCGACCAUCUUUGUGGAACGAAAUCUUGCCUUUAUGCCGUGAUGUGAAAAGGUGGAAAUGCUAACGUUGGUUCUAAGGAGAAAAUGACUUGGGGGGUUCUUCACUCGUAUAACAUAAGUCUUACAACCCAUGUUAAAUAUUAUGUGAACAUUAAGUGUGACAAAGUGAGAGGACUUAGGGCCAAGUUUAGAGACCUUUUUGUACUGUCCAGGGUCCAUAAAAUAUACGAACAUCCAACGUGACAUUAUGAGACAUAUGUCAACCCUUCAUAUUAAUCCUGAUACAAAAACACAAACGUUCAACUCUUAACAGUCGAUCGGACUCCCAACUAACAAGUUGUCUCUAACCUCUUAAUAUUUGAAUAUAUUAUUUCUUGGCAAAUCUCCAACUACGUGCAAGCUACACAUUAUUUGUAAGUAACAAUUAUCUACUAGCUUUUAUCUCUAAGUUAUACAUUAUAUAUAACAUUAUCUAUAAACUAAGCUAUCAGUUAUCAUCUAUAAGCCGAUAAUUAUCUAUAAAGAUUGUAACAAUACCUACAAACAAGGAUCUAAAGCUUCCUCUCACUCCUAUAAGUAUCAGGUUCCCUAGUCCUCUCUAAACACAUUUACUUCAACACACUCACUUGAACUGACUCAUACAUGUUCUUAUACGCGUAUACUUAUCUGAAGUUGUUUGCUUCAAAUUUACAUGACCAAAAUUUUUAUAUGUGGACCUCAUCAUAGAAGGACCACCCCCACCCCCAUAAGGAUGAGCAGUUGCAAUUACUUAGUGAAUCAUCAAUAGUCCCAUUUGUAGCCACUGUGACUUGCCCAAAGUUGCAAUCUCCAUUGCUGUCUCCUUCAGCAGUGAUCUUCGUAUCAAAUCUUAUUGGAUGAUCUUUGUACAUGUUUUCAGCAAGUUUGCAUAGCACUUUUCCUCUGUUGACGCUUAAUCGAAAAGUGCAUGUUUUGGAUUCAUCAUCAGGUGAAGUGUAUAAAAGAGCCUAGUCUUCAGAAAAUUCUGAAUUUGUAAAUCUCAACCUUGAGCUCCGAGGUGAAUGAGUUGCCCAUAGAGCUUGGUCGUGUAUUUGUAUAGUAAGACCACUCGGAAGGGGUAGUAUAAUAUAGGUAGCUUGUAAGAGAACACUCUACCGAGAUGCAUAUUCUAUUCCAUAAGGAAAAUGCUUCAUAUGUAUAUAUUAAUAAUAACUAUUAAUAAUUCAUUUUCAUGAAACAGUAUUUUCAAAUAAUCCUAAUUUGAAAAUCCUAAAAUACAAACUAAUUAAUUUUGUUUUGAGAUACGUUAAGCCUACUUAUGUCCAUGGGAAAUUGCUUCCUGCACUCAUAUAUUACUUCCUGCACCCCUAGAAUCUUAAAUAUCCCCAAAUUGCACUUCUCUUAUUAUAAUAACUCCGUUUCUUCUUUCUUUCUCCUUUCUCCUUCACUGAUGCACUCUUAAGGUUCAAAAGGCAUGGUUUAUGGUGUGGUUUGCAUAUAUUCCCGAUGAAUUAGGCAUUUUUUUAUUUGGAUAUAUUUUUUAAGUCAUUUUUGGAAUUAUCCAUGUCGCAUUCUGAAAAUGCAAUUUCAAAAUGAAUGCAUAAUUCUGGAAAUGCAUUUCCAGAAGUAUUUUCUUAAUGCAUUUCAGAAAUGAAUUUCCAAAAUGAAACAUGCAUAAUUUCAUAAAUGCUUUUCAGGAAUUGAUUUUUUUUUUUAUGAAUUAUGGAUUAAGCUAUCCAUGAAUAUAUACAAAUCAGAAAAAAAGAAGAAGAAAACCCACUUUCUGGCUAGAGUGUGUCCACAAGAAAGAAAGAAAGGGAUCCUAGAAGGUUUCCACACACAAAAGUAAAGGAAUCGGGUGGAUCAGGUAUAAGAGAUAUUCAAGGGCAUUUUUGUCCAUUCAACUUGAUUCAAAAUUCUCACAAUACAGGAAGUAAAUUAUUUGGUGGCGGAAGCAAAUUCCCUUUCCAUGUAAGUAAAUAAAACAAACAGGUUGGUUCUAAUAAUACAAAGCCCAAAUAUCUAUCACCUAACAACCUCCCAAUGUCUCCAUGACUCAAGAACCUACCUCAUUUUGCAUAAAGCUCAUUUUGUAUAAUUUCCAUAAAAAAAAUGCUAUAUAAUUCGUAUAUAUGACUAAAUGUUUUAUUUUCUUCAUAUGAUUUAUAAAAAGUCGGAGCAUACGAUAAACUAGAUUUUUUGUUUUCAUGAUUAAGCCUAUACAUCUUUUUAAGGCCACAAUUAGAGAUACAAAAUAUGAUAUACUGUCAAAAGAGAGAAGAUAGUGGAUAUUGAGCAUGUCUAAUUAAAUGUAAGAAGAGAAAAAGUCUUAUUAUUUAUGUUUUAUAAGCAAAAUGAGAUUUAAAUGUUUUUAAUCUUUAAUUUAGAUUUUAAAAUGUUUCAUAUUAUACAUUAAAUGUGUAGUAAUAUUUAUAUAGACUUUAUAGAAUUAGAAAAUUUAUUUCAGCAAGAAAACUAAAUCAAAGUCUCCUCUGGGUCUCUCAGCUCUAUCAAAUAUGAAUCAUCCAUUAAUGAUUAGUUACGUAAACCAGUUGUUUCCCGCAUGAUUAAUGGAUAAGAAAAUAUAUCAAUGAGACGACGGUGACGAGCAUCCAAAGUGCCAAAGAAGGUAUGAAAAAACAACAUAAAAAGUCUACAAAAGAAUACAACAUAGAAGUCUACGGAAAAAGUGGGCCUUAAAUUUCCUCUUAAAAAUUGAAAGAAUCUCUUUUAACUACUUUAAUUCUCAUAAAAUAAUAUAUAUGCAUUUUUUGUUUAAUUCAUUUUAUAAAAUGUAACUAUUUAUUAUAAAAUUUUACGAGAAUCAGAUUUAUUUAUUUUUAAAUUGACCCCAAACAUUACAUAUAAUCUAUUGGUUAAGAAUUGCGUGCCUUUAAUUUUCUUAUAUUAUCUUGCAUUUAAUACUUUUAAUUUACUUUAUUUUUUUGUUACAAAAAAAUUCUGAUUUGAAAUGUUAGAGUAGUUGUAAGCUUUUUCAGCUUUUGGUUUUCAGACUUAAAUUUAAAAAUAAAAUUGUGCACAUAAAAUGGAGUUAAAAUGGUUUUUAAAUCAAUUUUAAAACCCAUUUUAAU
rnacentral:lncRNA from 1 species